rnacentral:rRNA from 1 species
CAGAGAUGGCUUAGUGCUCGAAAGAGAGCCGUAACACAGGUGCUGCAUGGCUGUCGUCAGCUCGUGUCGUGAGAUGUUGGGUUAAGUCCCGCAACGAGCGCAACCCUUGUCAUUAGUUGCUACAUUCAGUUGGGCACUCUAAUGAGACUGCCGGUGACAAACCGCAGGAAGGUGGGGAUGACGUCAAGUCCUCAUGGUCCUUAUAGGUGGGGCUACACACGUCAUACAAUGGCCGGUACAAAGGGUCGCAAACCCGCGAGGGGGAGCCAAUCCAUCAAAGCCGGUCGUAGUCCGGAUCGCAGUCUGCAACUCGACUGCGUGAAGUCGGAAUCGCUAGUAAUCGUGGAUCAGCAUGUCACGGUGAAUACGUUCCCGGGUCUUGUACACACCGCCCGUCACACCAUGAGAGCGGGUCUCGCCAGAAGUAGUUAGCCUUAACGCAAGCAGGGCGAUUACCACGGCGGGGUUCGUGACUGGGGGGAAGUCGUAACA